rnacentral:rRNA from 1 species
AACGGAGGGUGCAAGCGUUGCUCGGAAUCACUGGGCGUAAAGAGCGUGGAGGCGGCUUCGUGUGCCUGAGGUGAAAGCCCCGGGCUCACCCCGGGAAGUGCGUUGGAAACUGCGGAGCUAGAGUCCCGGAGAGGGAGGUGGAAUUCCAGGUGUAGCGGUGAAAUGCGUAGAUAUCUGGAAGAACACCGGGGGCGAAGGCGGCCUCCUGGACGGUGACUGACGCUGAGACGCGGAAGCGUGGGGAGCAAGCAGG